UCCCGUUCCAGUGCUAUCAUUGGGAAUCCAUCCGUCUCAUAGCACACGUCAAGUGAUUUUAUUCCAAAUUAUACCAUGGAUACGUUAUUAGUGAUCGAAGUUCGAAGAAACGACGCUUGCCCGGAACGAAACCGAAGCUCUGGAAACAUAGAAAUAAUUGAGAGAUGAAGCUCAUACGUGCAGAGAGCGAUCCCGAUCGAGAGAACAUUCUAGAGGAAGAUCAAGAGACGCAUCCCGAGGUAGGCUGCGAAAAAGAUCUGGAGACAGGUCUGAAU